AGCAUUGUGUUGGGUUAGUGUCAAAAACUCAACUGAAGGCGCCAAUUUGUUGUUGCGAUGAUUGAUCUUCGUAGUCCACCCAUUCUUGUGCUCCACAGCUUCUCAUCAAUGUCCAUGAAAUGAAAUGGAGGAGGUUGAUUCUUGAGGCUCAAACUCCAACUAAUCCAACGAAUUUCAGAUACAGAGACUCCUAAUUCACCAUCGCAAUGCUGAUUCAAGCUCACUCCCAAAACCCCCAUUUCUUCUUUCUUCCCCAAAACCCUUCAAUUUCCCCCCACUUCUCCUUCCAUGUUUCUCAUUCACGUGAACUCAAAUCGCCGAUGGGUCGACGAAAUGAAUCAAUGUCUAGGAUUUCAGCUUCCGGGGAGCACACUCCCACCAUCAUUUUGGGCAAAAAAAGAAAGGUUUUCGAACACAUUUCUUUGCUCAAAGCGAAGGAAAAUAUUUCUGAAGAAGAAGAGAAUGAUAUGCUUGAUUAUCUCUAUACCACGCAGUAUCAAAUGAAGGGCAUUGUUGCCGUUUCAUUAGGACGUGCUUGUGAUCAAAAUAAUGAAAGCUAUACCCAUGGUGUGUAUAUGCGUUUCCAAAGAAAGGAAGACCUUGAAAAAUUCUAUGUGAACCCUUUCUACUUGCGAGUACUAAAUGAGCAUGUGAUGCCUUAUUGUCAUGGACUGAUUCAUGUGGAUUAUGAAUCAGAGGUGGAAGAUGACAUGCUCCCCAUAUUUCGGAAAGGAGAGGAGUUCAACUACGGUGUGGAGUUUGUGCUUCUCAUUAAAUUUCUUCAAGAUUCAUUUGGCAAACCUUUAGAAGAUGCACUAAAUUCUCUCGAGAGACUAACAAUUGAUAAUCCUUCCUUAAUUGUCCAGGUUACACAAGGUUUAAAUUUUAAUCCCAGUUGUAAGGAGUUCACACAUGGUGUAGUUAUACGAUUUCGGUCAAUCAAAGCCUUUGAGAUAUUUACAGGCAGCUCAGAUUACAAAGAUAUGUGGAAGUCGAAAUUCCAACCAAUCAUCCAGAAAACAGUGUCUCUUCACUUCUCUGUUGACCCAGUAGGGACGGAGAUCAUGUAGCAAGGAGUAUUCUUGGUUUUGGCACCAGAGUUGGUUUUAUAUCUUACAAGCGCAAGGCUUGGCUACCAUUAAUCUGACAUGAAUGCGGAAUCAGGAGGUACAGAUUCUUGCGUUUGAUUUCUAGCUUGUAACGUUCUCUGCACCCACUCACUUGGAUGGUGCGGCCAUUUUAUACAUGUUCUGGAUGCUAUUUUUCUAUUUUGUACAACUCAUAUGAUAGGAACUUGAGAUAUUUAAUUCGCAUUGAGAAAAAUCUGUAUACCGAAUCUUAUGCAAUCUGAUAUUUGUAUUUAUUCUUACUGUUACCUUUAUUGGUACACAUUUUCCCCGCUGAGUGAGAGCUAAGGCUUUCAACUUAAUUUUUGUGCAAAGACAGAGAAUCACCCAGGGAACAUAUGCUCUUAGUUAUUGUCUGGACUAAUGAGACGACCAAAGUAGCUGAAAGAGGCAGUUUCCUUCAAUACUCAGGAUGCUGCAAAAUCUUGAAUGGGUUCUAUCAGUUUUCUUAUCAUUAAAUGCAACUCUUUGAAGUAACUUCAUGCAAAUAUGAAAUAUAUUUCAUAUACCUGAAAGGAAAUCACAUGCUUUUGGAUUUACCAUUUUAGUUUAGUGCAGGAUUGGUCGUCAAUAACAUUUCAUUUUUUGUUCUGUUAAGAUUUCCCUGAAUCUGUAGGCUUAACUUCCAAAAAUUGGCAUCUACAUGGUCAUUGGUAAAUGCUGUUACACAAUUUCUUUUACUGCAUCAUUUAUAUGAAGACGUUUAGGAUUUACCUGGGAUCAAAUAAUGCUCAAAAUCCAACAAUCGAAAAACAAGACAUUCCCAGCCUAAAUCUCUAUAUUGUUUAAGCUCCUUCCGAAAAUUGACUCGACUAUCAUUUUAAUUGUGAUUCUAAAUUCAGGUUAGAAUAUAAACAGCUUAAUGAGAACAACUUGCUAUCAAUUGGUCAAGAAACUUCAACUGCCCCACCCCCACAAACACUGAAAAACCUUUCCUUUUUCCAUUAAUUAACCACCCCAUGCCCAUAUGGCUCUUGUCAGUCGUUUUCUCCUUCCUCUUCAUCUAAAAAGCAGCGGAUAAAUUCCAUUUUCCUACUGAUUUUGUUCUUCUACACAUGGUGCACGCCCAAAAAGUUUCUGCUACAUUGAAUUUCCUUGUUUCUUUUUGUUCAACUCCCGAAACAGAUCCAACACCCAUAUGUUUUCUGCAGAUUGAUUAUGAAAUUUCGUUAUGUUCCGAGUUAUUCAGGAACCCUUUUUCUCUUUACAUCCAAGAACAGGUAAAAAAAGUGUAAGGGGUGAAGUCUAAGAUUUCAUUGAUUUCCACGUGAGAGAUGUACACUUUUUGGCUGUCAAAGCAUAUGAAUUCUUUAUUUCAUUGUUGUUAUUUUCAGUAGAUAUUUUAUCUUCUCUCUCUCUCUUAUUGUUUUCUGUUUGGUCAGUAUGAUGUGUUAUAAUUUUCUUAGCUGGCAUUUAGGAUAAAUCUCUCUCAACGUCUUUCUCUCUUUGGAUGGAAGCAAAACAAAAAGGGCCUAAAACAAAUCCAGAUGGGAGUGUCUGAGGAAGCUCACAAGUAAGUUUCUUUGGGACCCUUUUCUCUGAUCACUCUCUGUCUUUCAGUCUUUCUUCACAUAGAACUUAUUAUGAGAUGAGGGCCGACCAUUUCCACACACAUUGCCCACCUUCCACUGUCCCUUCCCUUCAUCAUCUUCUGUUGGCCCAUUUUCCAGCUCUCUCUCGUCUGUCACCACUCAGUUCUGAGUAAGAAGAUGAAAUGAGAACAACGAUAAAAUAGUAAACCAAAGAUAGAAAAAGACUAUGAAAAAGAAAGAUAUGUUGUCUUUAUCAUCUUUUUAGAUCAACAAGCUAACUAGUAAGACAGACUAUAUUUAUGUUACUUUUUCAUUUUUCAUCAGUUAUUAAGAAGGUCACGUUAAAGUGAAGAAAAGAAAAGAAAAAAAUGUCUAAAGUGGCCAUCGUCACGAGACUUUAAUUAUAGCAAUAACUAGCAUAUUAACUAGAUAAAGGUAGAUGUAAGUUUUGGGUUGCCAAGUGUCCAUAUAAAUCUGUAAAGUUCCUAGAGACAAUAAAUGGUUGAAGUUAUUAAAAUUUCUUGGUGUUCAUAAAAGAACAAAGGAAAAACAAUAAGAGUUUUCACAUGUCACAGAAUCAAGAGCAAAUAAAGGGUUUUUCGUAAGGAAUCUAAGGUUAUUUUGAUCUAUAAGACGGCAUGCAUUUGCUUUCACACACCCUAUAUCUAAAAUUCUAACCUUAAAAGAGGACUCAGCCCCAAUAUAGGUGCCAUAACUAGUAUCCACUAUUUUUUAUUGCAUUCUUAACAAUCUUCUCUAGAACAAAGAAUUAUUAGGCCUCCCCUUGACGAUAUUUCCAUUAAAUCAUGUAACUUGUUGGGAUGAAUAAGCUCACCCUAUUUGUUCAAUGUUUGAAGGAUUUCAUCCAAACAAUGAAAUUGUCUAAGGCGGCUCAUUUAUCUCCUUGUUCAUAUAAAAUUCCUUGAGACUCAGACUUCAUAACCUAACCAAUAGAGAUGCAGCCUUUCCAAUGAACUAAGGAGGUUCCUCACUUCGAAUAUUCAAUAUGGGCUCUAAUAACCACAUGAUCCUUAAUCUAAAAUUUCUCCAUUGAUGUCAACAAAAACAUCUUAAUCUUUGUGAGUGAAAAAAUGAAAAAAUUCUUAUUUGGUCAAAGAGUAAACAACAUUAUGAGAUGAAAUGUCUGCAUUAAUAAGAUCUUCUCUCAUGGUAUCCAAGCUUUAACGUGAAGAAGAGACCACACAAAACAGAUAGAGAACAGGGAAAUGUAAAGAAAACUCCAUAUGUAACAGCCUGAAUGGGACAGAUGCAGUUGAAAAACACAGUCCCAAGCUACCAAUAAACGUUCUGAACUUAAUUUUAAAGUUUCAGUCUCUCCUCUUUUGACAAACAGAACUCCCAAGUAAUAAUUGAAGUUUGAUCUGCCAAAAGGAGAGGAAAAAAAAAAGGCAAAUUGCAAUAACCACUUGAGUGGUAGUUGCAAUUACAUUCUUAAACUUUUAAUUGUUAAAAUUGAGUCCUCAAACGUAAAAUAAUGGUAGAAUUUGGACUUCCGAAUGAUAAAAAUUGAAUCCUUAAAUGGCUCAAACUUAUAUAAUUGUUCCAAUUUCUACUAUUACGAGGGUUCAAUAUUAACACUUUUAUAAGUUUGAGGGUUCGAUUUUACAAUUGAAAGUUUGAGGGUAUAAUUGCAAUUACCAUCCAAUUGAGGAUGGUUUUUGCAAUUUGUCAAAAAAAAAAAAAAAAAAAAAAAAAAAAAAAAAAAAAAAAGAAAA